AUGGAGAGUUUGAUCCUGGCUCAGGAUGAACGCUAGCGGCAGGCCUAACACAUGCAAGUCGAGCGCUCUCUUCGGAGGGAGCGGCGAACGGGUGAGUAACGCGUGGGAACGUACCUUUUGGUUCGGGACAACCCUGGGAAACCGGGGCUAAUACCGGAUACGCUCUACGGAGGAAAGAUUUAUCGCCGAGAGAUCGGCCCGCGUUGGAUUAGCUUGUUGGUGAGGUAAUGG
rnacentral:rRNA from 1 species